ensembl:lncRNA
ACAACAUUUCUGCUAUACUGCAGGAUUGCUGUCCUUUUCCUUUGAGGGAAUCGUGGAAUCGUGGAAGAGGCAAGAAGAGACAAAAUUAUUUGAAGGAAUCUGCAGUUCGUGUGCCCUUACAAUUGUAUUUUACACACACAGUUCUCAGCAGCUUGGUCAGUGAAGUAGAGGACAGUAGAGGAGGAGGAUAGAGAGAAGCAGAGGAGGACAUACCAGAGGGAGAAAGAGAGAGGGAGCUCUGCAGCAGGAUCCCCACCGUGCUGAGCACAGGACUGCGUGACUGGUCUGUGCUGGGUGAGGGGGAGGGGAGGCAUAUCAGUGCAACACAGCCUUACUGGAUGAGAAGCAGCAGUAACACUAGCAGCAUCUCAUUUGUGGCUGCUGGGGGCUCGGUCUCACACACACAGGCGCUCCCAGCGCCACCGUCACACACACGCAGUGGCAGCCACAGCCGUCGUUAGAGCCUGGGCUGGGGCAGGGACGGGGACCGCUACUGUGACGACUGGAGCUACGGCGAUAGCAGCUGCUGCACCAUGGCACAAGCCGCCAAGCAGCUACGCAAGAACAAGGACCUAGCGGAGCUCGCAGCUCAGGAGCUGAAGGAUAAGGAGGAGGAGAAGAACAAGAAGAGGAAUCGAUCGAGGGACCGAAGACGCAAGACCCUUCCUCAAUGAUCCCCCUCUACAUCGGUCUCCGUGCCGGUAUCUAUGUUCUCAUCCUUCUGGUGGAAUCUCUCCUGUGUUUUCUCUGGUGUAGACACGGAAGAGAACUCAAGUCUGCACUAUGCUAUAAGGAUGUGACCUUGCUGGGGAGUUCAAGUUGGAUAUGGCUGGAGAGUAUGAUGUGUCAAUGUUUUUAUAAACCAGAAGUCAAUAGGAGGAGAAGUUAUUCAAUUUGAACAAUUUGCAAUUUCCAUGCACCUUGUGAAUGUAUUUUUAUACUAUACACAGUGUUUAAUGUGUAAUGUGUUUGUAUAUGUAAAAUAUAGCAAUUUUAUUAGCAUUACAUUUUUUUCUGCUCUAGUAUGUUGUGUUUUUCCAGUGAAAAUAAAGCUUGUACAGUAUAUUGUAAAUAAUUGUUGGAAAUGUUGUUUCUUUUCUCUGGAAGAGAAAUUGUGUUGUUUAGAUUACACAGCUGUUGUGUUUCAACGGUCUGUCUCAUGAUGGUCAUUGAUCUACCUGAGCUUUAGCUGGGUGUUUUGUGUCUGUUUGUCAUGUAGACGUGGCCACAGUGGGGGUACUGCUCAUUGUAAGGUUCUGCUUUACUUUUUUUUAAGUCAACCUUGUGUUCUUUUUCUUUGUGUUCUUGAACGUAGCCCUGUUUCUUUGUGUUCUUGAACGUAGCCCUGUUUCUUUGUGUUCUGGAACGUAGCCCUGUUUCUUUGUGUUCUGGAACGUAGCCCUGUUUCUUUGUGUUCUGGAACGUAGCCCUGU